AGUGAACGCUGGCGGUAGGCCUAACACAUGCAAGUCGAACGGCAGCACAGGAGAGCUUGCUCUCUGGGUGGCGAGUGGCGGACGGGUGAGGAGUACAUCGGAAUCUACUCUGUCGUGGGGGAUAACGUAGGGAAACUUACGCUAAUACCGCAUACGACCUACGGGUGAAAGCAGGGGAUCUUCGGACCUUGCGCGAUUGAAUGAGCCGAUGUCGGAUUAGCUAGUUGGCGGGGUAAAGGCCCACCAAGGCGACGAUCCGUAGCUGGUCUGAGAGGAUGAUGAGCCACACUGGACCUGAGAGACGGUCCAGACUCCUACGGGAGGCAGGAGUGGGGAGUAUUGGACAAUGGGGGCAAGCCUGACCCAGCCAUACCGCGUGGGUGAAGGAGGCCUUCGGGUUGUAAAGCCCUUUUGUUGGGAAAGAAAUCCGGCUGGCUAAUACCCGGUUGGGAUGACGGUACCCAAAGAAUAAGCACCGGCUAACUUCGUGCCAGCAGCCGCCGUAA
rnacentral:rRNA from 1 species